CCUACGGGAGGCAGCAGUGGGGAAUUUUGGACAAUGGGCGAAAGCCUGAUCCAGCAAUGCCGCGUGCAGGACGAAGGCCUUCGGGUUGUAAACUGCUUUUGUACGGAACGAAACGGUCUCUUUUAAUACAGGGGGCUAAUGACGGUACCGUAAGAAUAAGCACCGGCUAACUACGUGCCAGCAGCCGCGGUAAUACGUAGGGUGCAAGCGUUAAUCGGAAUUACUGGGCGUAAAGCGUGCGCAGGCGGUUAUAUAAGACAGAUGUGAAAUCCCCGGGCUCAACCUGGGACCUGCAUUUGUGACUGUAUAGCUAGAGUACGGUAGAGGGGGAUGGAAUUCCGCGUGUAGCAGUGAAAUGCGUAGAUAUGCGGAGGAACACCGAUGGCGAAGGCAAUCCCCUGGACCUGUACUGACGCUCAUGCACGAAAGCGUGGGGAGCAAACAGGAUUAGAUACCCUGGUAGUCCACGCCCUAAACGAUGUCAACUGGUUGUUGGGUCUUCACUGACUCAGUAACGAAGCUAACGCGUGAAGUUGACCGCCUGGGGAGUACGGCCGCAGGUUGAAACUCAAAGGAUUGACGG
rnacentral:rRNA from 1 species